rnacentral:rRNA from 1 species
GAUGAACGCUAGCGGCAGGCCUAAUACAUGCAAGUCGAACGGAUAUAUGUUUUCGGAAUAUAUAUUAGUGGCGCACGGGUGAGUAACACGUACAUAACUUGCCCUCAAGCGGGGGAUAGCCUUGGGAAACUGAGAGUAAUACCCCAUAGAAUUAUUGGACGGCAUCGUUUGAUAAUUAAAACUACGGUGUUUGGGGAUAGAUGUGCGUCUGAUUAGCUAGUUGGUGAGGUAACUGCUCACCAAGGCGACGAUCAGUAGGGGGCGUGAGAGCGUGGCCCCCCACACGGGUACUGAGACACGGACCCGACUCCUACGGGAGGCAGCAGUAAGGAAUAUUGGUCAAUGGAGGGAACUCUGAACCAGCCAUGCCGCGUGAAGGAUGACGGCCCUCUGGGUUGUAAACUUCUUUUGGAUGGGGCGAAAAAACGGGAUUUAUCCUGGACUGACGGUACCAUCAGAAUAAGCACCGGCUAACUCCGUGCCAGCAGACGCGGUAAUGUAGUCGUGU